AAUAUCUCGUUGGUCGAAUUACUUUCACUUUUAUAACGGGUGAUUCAUCAAUUCAUCAAUUUUUACGGAAAAAAGUCCAACCUGUAGAAGCCCUAAAUCGGCCCUACGGUCAAAGUUAUCUGCGCGAGACCAGCCCUCAGUAUCUAAUGUUAGGUUUCCUAUUUAUAGGUUGAAGUAAAUAAUGAAACACUGCAUUAUACUUAUGACUAAUGAAUCUCUGGACAAUACAGAUAUAUGAUCAUAGGCAAAUAUCAUUAAUAUAUUGAGAGGAGAAAUAAGAAUGGGACAUCUGGAUCACUCCUCUAAGUCCAGGUCCCCUAAUUCUUCUUCUAAAUCUUCUAAAUCUUCUUCCAUAAAUAGAUUUUCAUUUAUUGCUAAGGCAGUUGCACCUUCUCCUACAGUCACUGUUUGAAAGGAGAAUGGCAAAUUAUUAAAGAUGCAUUAUCAUUUUUAUAAAUUGUUAAUUUAUAAAGUAUAUUACCGGUACUAUCUUUAUUGUCUUCAGCAGUACCAUUAGCUUUCAAACGAUCUGUAGAUGCAACUGUUAUACCCGUAGUAUCAGUCUCACUAGCUUCAAAGGCAAGUCGUUCCAUAUCAAGUUCCCUAUAUUCAAUCUUAUCUUCUUCUUCAUCUUCCUCACGCACAUAACUAGAUAUUGCUUCAUCACCAUCAUCAAUACCUGAUCCAAACAAAUUUAUAUAAUGCAAAUAUAUUAAAUUAAUUAUAAUUGUCGUCAACUUAAAGUGUUUAAUGCUAAUAUAAGUACCAUCUCCAGCAGCAAGUUCUGGAUUGAAGUAGAACAUUUCGCGACCGGAUAUACCCACUUGACGACCUGCUUUAUAAUCAUUUCUUCGUUUUUCUUCAUCCUUGAUAGCUUGUUCUUUCUUUUCUUGUAAUUUUCUCUUUUUCCAAGCCAAAAAGGUUUCUAAAGUUAUUUUUGUCUGCAAUGUACGAAAAUUGAGAAAAUAUUUCAUUUCGAGGAAUAUUAUUAGGUUUAAUUAAAUUUACAAUAGUUUAAUAAAUUGAACAAAUUUUAUAAGAAUAUAAACAUACCUGAUUAGGUCCUAAAUUUGCUCUUUCUCUCUCGAUUAGAUCCUCCAAUGAAAUUUCAUCUUUCUUAUCCUCUUUCUUUUUAUCUUUCUUAAGAA